GACAGAGGGUGCGAACGUUGCUCGGAAUACUGGGCGUAAAGCGCGUGUAGGCGGCCGCGCGCGUCGGGUGUGAAAGCCCAGGGCUCAACCCUGGAAGGGCACACGAUACGACGCGGCUAGAGUGCGGAAGAGGCAGGCGGAAUUCCCGGUGUAGAGGUGAAAAUUCGUAGAUAUCGGGAGGAACACCAGUGGCGAAGGCGGCCUGCUGGACCGGCACUGACGCUGAGACGCGAAAGCGUGGGGAGCAACAGGAUAGAAACCCUGU
rnacentral:rRNA from 1 species